AGUGAACGCUGGCGGUAGGCCUAACACAUGCAAGUCGAACGGCAGCACAGUAAGAGCUUGCUCUUACGGGUGGCGAGUGGCGGACGGGUGAGGAAUACAUCGGAAUCUACUUUUUCGUGGGGGAUAACGUAGGGAAACUUACGCUAAUACCGCAUACGUCCUACGGGUGAAAGCAGGGGAUCUUCGCACCUUGCGCGAUUGAAUGAGCCGCUGCCGGAUUAGCUAGUUGGCGGGGUAAAGGCCCACCAAGGCGACGAUCCGUAGCUGGUCUGAGAGGAUGAUCAGCCACACUGGAACUGAGACACGGUCCAGACUCCUACGGGAGGCAGCAGUGGGGAAUAUUGGACAAUGGGCGCAAGCCUGAUCCAGCCAUACCGCGUGGGUGAAGAAGGCCUUCGGGUUGUAAAGCCCUUUUGUUGGGAAAGAAAAGCAGCAGGUUAAUACCCCGCUGUUCUGACGGUACCCAAAGAAUAAGCACCGGCUAACUUCGUG
rnacentral:rRNA from 1 species